rnacentral:rRNA from 1 species
UACGUAGGCGGAAAAUUAAGUCAGUAGUGAAAUCCUGCAGCUUAACUGUAGAACUGUUAUUGAUACUGGUUUUCUUGAAUAUAGUUGAAGUAGGCGGAAUGUGUAAUGUAGCGGUGAAAUGCUUAGACAUUACACAGAACACCGAUUGCGAAGGCAGCUUACUAAGCUAUGAUUGACGCUGAGGUACGAAAGCGUGGGGAGCGAACAGGAUUAGAUACCCUGGUAGUCC